CACGGGGGGAGCAAGCGUUGUUCGGAAUCACUGGGCGUAAAGGGCGUGUAGGCGGUCUGGUAAGUGGAAUGUGAAAUCCCCCGGCUUACCCGGGGACCUGCAUCCCAAACUGCCAGGCUUGAGUACGGGAGAGGAUGAGGGAAUUCCUGGUGUAGCGGUGAAAUGCGUAGAUAUCAGGAGGAACACCGGUGGCGAAGGCGCUCAUCUGGCCCGAUACUGACGCUGAGGCGCGAAAGCUAGGGGAGCAAACGGG
rnacentral:rRNA from 1 species